rnacentral:lncRNA from 7 species
AGAUCUUGUCACAGAGCUGCUAUAUAGAAGAAAAUCAAGUCAAGAAGCACAACCAAGGAACAAAUUUCUGGGGGAAGGCAGAAGCAAGAAUGUUCUCAGCUAGGCUUGCUGCUGUGACAUGGAACACACUGAAGAGUCAUUAGACUUCUAGCUACCCACUUGAGAAGUUUCUUAAGAAUCCCUUCAAAAUCAGAAAUAUCAGAUACCUAUAUCUCCACAGUGAACUUGAUGCAGCUUUAGCAGUUCAUUGGUCAACCAGAAGCAGAAAUACUUCCCACAGUUCCAUUAAAUUUAAAAAAAAAAAAAAAUAAUAAAAAAAAAUUCAAUGGCUGUUACCAAAAAUUCAGAAGUAUGCAGCUGUUACCAGUGAAGUGACUAAAUGGGCUACAUGACACACCACUUCGGCUGGAACGAAACUGAUCAAAUUGCAGUGACAUGGAAGUCAAUUCUUCAUCUCUCUACCUCCUGAAGACCUCUUUGUAGAAAGAAGGGAUACAGCAUGUGGAGCUACUGAAUCAAGCCCAUGAAGAAAAGAUAGGUGACUGAGGGUUAGAAGAGGAGUUUGGAUGUCAAGUUCAAGCUUUCCUUCCUGACUUCUCCAUGGAUGCGCUUUGUCACGUGGCUCAACAUUCUUGGAGCUGAGAAGAUGGAGUUCUCUAAUUUUGCACACUGGUGCUCGCAAUUGCUGGAGAGUAAUUUCUUCUUGACUGUACUUCCCUGCACAGACUGACUUUGUCUUUUACCUUGUUGCCUUCUGAAGGGCAGUCAGACAUUGCAUUCAAGGCUGAGUGUCCCACCUGUUGUAGAGUUUGGAGGCAUAGUCCUUCUCUCAACCCAAAGGUACCACAGUUGAGUUUCAUCUAAGUCAUCUAGUUUUCUCCAUAGGCCAGUAGAGAAGAAUAGAAAUUUCUUGCCUGAAAAUACAAAUAAGUCAUUACUUAAGGUGUCUGAUUUUUCCUCCUUGUAUUAAACAAGCAAAACAAAUAAUUAAACAAACAAUGAAACAAAAGAAAAAAACUCCAUACACUCCAAUAAAAGAAAAAGAAAACAGCAGAGGUGAUGAGCUCAGAUAUCUGCAUCGGAGCAUUCCAGAGUUUAAUGGGAUUAAACUGUACCUCAGUUUCCCUAUGAAUAAACUAUAACAAUAGGACAUCAAUAACAGUAUAUCAAAUUAGAGUGUUGACACCCACUUCUUUAUGUGAAUGUGUUGUCUGCUUAGACAGAAUAACUCUUCAAAACAGAUGGCAAAAGGAAAAUGUUCUCUCUGUAUGUUAUGCUGCCUAUUUCCAGCAGGAUUUCGUUACUGAAGUAACCACAUUUCUUUGCACUGAGUUGCAAGGCAAAGAUCGGAUGGGACAGACCUGCCUGCACAUCUAGGAAUUGCUCCCAGUCACACAGAUGUAUUUCUGAAUAGAAAUGCAAUAGAAAAACAGUGUUGUUUCAAAAGACAUCAGCUUCUAGAAGGCCCCUGUUGGAUCUGUAAGCGAGUGGAUUGAGGAGCAUCAGAUAAUUCAUUUAUUCACAGAUUCUAAGAGUGAAAGGGUUGCAUUUUGAUCAUCAGGUCAGCUGUUUGGUGUAACGUCAGUUUCCCUUCGUCUACAUUUGUUCAGCUGUUCAACUAGAAUAUAUGUUUCAGAAGAAAACCAUACCAGACUGCAGAAUUCCUAGCUUCAUGUCUGAUCAGACAUUGUAAAGGAGUUUUUCUCAUUAAUUAAUGCUCUGUUGAAAUCAUUAUGCCUAUUUGCUAUGGAAAGAUUUAUCAAGAAAUUCACUGGAGCAGCUAACCUUGCUGUCAUGGAUUUGGUUACCCUUCCUUUUGCCUCAUUCCUGGUCCUCAAGGUUUCAGCAAAUUUCUCCCCAACUCUCAGCUUCCUGGUGAAUUUUCUAUCCCCUCUCAUUCGUGGGGUGUGACAGGAUAAUAGCAGCAAUCCAGUCCUUAUUGUCUGGAUCUGCGGAUGAACGGUGCUGUAUAAGUGUAAAGUGUUAUUAUUAUUGUAAGGAAAUAAUAAUACUAAUAAAACAAAAUG